rnacentral:rRNA from 1 species
AGAGUUUGAUCCUGGCUCAGAUUGAACGCUGGCGGAAUGCUUUACACAUGCAAGUCGAACGGCAGCACGGGGCAACCUGGUGGCGAGUGGCGAACGGGUGAGUAAUACAUCGGAACGUGCCCAAUCGUGGGGGAUAACGUAGCGAAAGUUACGCUAAUACCGCAUACGAUCUACGGAUGAAAGCGGGGGAUCGCAAGACCUCGCGCGAGUGGAGCGGCCGAUGUCAGAUUAGGUAGUUGGUGGGGUAAAGGCUCACCAAGCCAACGAUCUGUAGCUGGUCUGAGAGGACGACCAGCCACACUGGAACUGAGACACGGUCCAGACUCCUACGGGAGGCAGCAGUGGGGAAUUUUGGACAAUGGGCGCAAGCCUGAUCCAGCCAUUCCGCGUGCAGGAUGAAGGCCUUCGGGUUGUAAACUGCUUUGUACGGAACGAAACGGCGAGCUCUAAUACAGUUUGCUAAUGACGGUACCGUAAGAAUAAGCACCGGCUAACUACGUG